rnacentral:lncRNA from 1 species
UACAUUCAUCCAUUGUAUUGUUUCCUUAUCUUGUUCCUUACAUACAGUUAUGUUACUUGGAUUCAGGUCUUGCUUGACCCCUCCAACUUGGGUCUACCACUUACUGUAAAAUCUCAGAAGAAUUUUACUUUCCUGCUUAGCUUCUCAUCUGUAAAUGGGAUAACAGUAGUACCUACAUUAUGGAACUGUGGUAAGUUACAAGGGGGAAGCAGAGACAGGCAAAUCUCUUAGUUCCAGGCCAGCCUAGUCUACAUAUUGUGACCCUGUCUAAAAAAUCAUUCCCAAACAAAACCAGCCAGUCAACCAACCUCUUAGAUACUCUUUUUUUUUUUUUUAAAGACUUAGUUAUAUAUAAGUACACUGUAGCUGUCUUCAGACACAGCAGAAGAGGGCAUCAAAUCUCAUUACAGAUGGUUUUGAGCCACCAUGUGGUUGCUGGAUUUGAACUAAGUACCUCUGGAAGAGCAGUCAGUGCUCUUAACCGCUGAGUCAUCUCUCCAGCCCUGAACACUCUUAAAAUAGCUCCCAGCACAUAGUCUAUUUUUUACAGCCUUAGGCAUUUCACAGCUAGGCUGGCCUUGAACUUCCUGGCCUUGAACUUCUUGUCUAGCAAGGAUGACCUUCAAUUGAUUCUUCUCUUCUUCCUCCUGAGUUUUGGGAUUAGAUUUGCCAUGCCAAGCUCUCCUCUCUACUGGGUGUUUGUGGCCAAAACCAACCAGUGGCUAUCUUGGCCUACCUUUUUCUUUUCCUCUUUCCUGUUUGAUUAGUUCUGAUAUCUUGUACAUUAUCAGUGCUUUGAUUUUUAGGAAUUUAGCUGUUUAGGGAUUAUAAUCUUGUUAAACUUUAUAAUAAAGGUGAACUUCAAGAAUUUUUGGUUUAUCUGCCUUUCUUUACUAUUUCUUUGGAAACUAAUCCAUGCAAAAACAGUAGUAGGAAGUAUUCCUACUAGUUGAGGUAAAGCAAGAGUUUACACCGACCCUGGCUAUAGAAAUGCAAACUAAGUGCAAAUGGAAAAAAACUUUAGGACUGGGAAUUCUGGUUUUUGUUUUUGGAGGCAGGGUACUUAAAAUUCUUAGUAUGCUAAAUUAACUAGUAAAUGAAGGGUGUAGUUACUGUUGGCCUAGUGAGGUUAGAACUACCAACAAACAACUCUGAAGAUGUGAAAGCUAUCUUUGAGCUGUGCUAUUCUCUGCCUUGGGUUCUUAGGCAGUCUUAGAGGAGGUUGGGGUUUUUAUUUUCAUACAUACUAAAAUGUGUAAAUUGGGAAGCUCGGGUUCAAUUAGAAAUUAAACAAAGGUUGCUUUAAAGGAAUUUUUUUUAUGAGGAACAAUGACUUAAAAUCACUUGUUUUGAACAAUUUUGAUUUGCCUUGCUAGUUGUUUAGAAUUAAUGUAUAUUGGUGCAAGCAGUCUGCUUAUAUACGUAGGACUGGCCUAACCCUAUCCCUAACCCCAUCUCCUUUCUACAAAUACACUUAGAGUGCUGUACUAGCUGGUUUUGUGUGUCAAUUUGACACAAGCUGGAGUUAUCACAGAAAAAGGAGCUUCAUUUGAGGUAAUGCCUCCAUGCGAUCCAGCUGUGAGGUAUUUUCUCAAUUGGUGAUCAAGUGAGGCUGAUCUCUAGGCUGGUAGUCUUGGGUUCUAUAAGAAAGCAGGCUGAGCAAGCCAGGAGAAGCAAGCCAGUAAGGAACAUCCCUCCAUGGCCUCUGAAUCAGCUCCUGCUUCCUGACCUGCUUGAGUUCCAGUCCUGACUUCCUUGGUGGUGAACAGCAGUAUAGAAGUGUAAGCUGAAUAAACCCUUUCCUCCCCAACUUGCUUCUUGGUCACAAUGUUUUGUCCAGGAAUAGAAACCCUGAGUAAGACAAGUGCUGAGAAAGAAUACUUCUUAAAGCCCCUUCCUGCGAAUGAAUGUUAAUGCUAUAUUACCCUUAGAUCACUACUUCAGUUGCUGGCAGAAUGACCCUUCUUUUUCCUAUCACCCCUUUUUCCUGGUGCCAUUUUCUUGGGCCCAAGUUGGAAAGGGAGUUGGGAUAUUUCAAAUAAGCUUUGUCUAUAUCUAUUGAGAUCAUCUGAUUUUCAUCCUUUUUGAACCUUUUUGAUUUUUUUUUUUUUGCAUUAGUUUGUGAUGUUGCACUAUCCUUGAAUUACUGGAAUAUAUCUCAGAGUCAUGGCAUAGAAUUUUAGUAUGCACUUGAAGUUUACUUACUUGCAUUAAUAUUUCAUGAGGGGAUUUUUCUGUCUGUAUUUUGAGAGAUUGUCUUCAUACUGUACAGGAUAAUAGUAGGUUCAAAGAAUUCAGUUGAGUGGUUUUUUUCCUUGUCUUGGAACAUUCUGUUUAGAGUUGAUUUUAAACUUUCAGGUUUAAUGUGACUACUGAAGCCAUCUGAGCCCAAACAUUUCUUUAUGGGUAGUUUUUUGGCUAAUUGUUAUGGCUUGAAUGUGAAAUGUUGUUCCCCCAUGUGAUGGUGUAUGCCUCUAAUCUCAAUACUUGGGAGGCAGAGUUCGGUAGACCUCUGAGUUUGAGAACAAUCAUACAGUGAUAUUACUAAGAGAACAUCUUUAUUCUUUUGACCCAGGGAGUUUUAUUGAGCAUGGUAUCAAUGUAUAACCCAGAGUCCCCAUCUCCUUUAUGGCAAAUACCUGGUCUGGACAAACAGAGCAAUGUAGUAAGGCCCUGUCUCAAACUCGCACACACACAGAGGUUUUUGUUUUUGUUGUUUUAGCUGACCAUGUUAGCAUAGGCCAAUAGUAUCAGGACUAUUAGACUGAGGCUUGUAGGUCACAAAUAAGAGGUCAACCUCUACUGUGUAAUGAGUUCUAAGCCAGCUUGUGCAUCAUGACUGGAAUUUACUGUUUACUAUGCCAUUAAAGACUAAGUCAUCUGGGUGGGUAUGGGGGACUUUUGGUAUAGCACUGGAAAUGUAAAUGAGCUAAAUACCUAAUAAAAAAUGG